CAUAAAUUGAUCAUUAACGGACAAUCAAUGUGUUAAGUUAUAAGUUGGUGGAUUUUGAUAGAAGUGUCCUAAAUUAUUCAAAUGAUAAUUCUCUUGAUACUAAUGCACAUUUAAAGAACCCUAUCACCAAUACAGAUAUUGUUUGUUCGACGAAUCGCUAUAAAGACUGAUGAUUCAACUGAGCGCGAUAAUCCAAUUAAUUAUUAUUUCUGCAAUUACGUUUGCACGAGACAAUAUAUGAGGAAGAUAAUCACUUGAAUAAAUUGAGUAAGUUAAUCGAGAGACGAUGUAAGUGCAGGAUACGAUUGUUUAGAUUUUUCUAUUAAUAUCACUCCCAGAUGUACGAUCGGAUCUAUAUUUGGCUUUAUUUUAUCGAUCAUUUGAAUUAACUUUGAUAACAUUCGAAACCCCAAUGCUGAUAUUCUCCGUAUAUUUUACGCGAUAACAAUGCCGAUGGGUUUCCCAUGUGAUCUAACGAUUGAUUAUUUCCCCUCCAACAAGGGACUUAGCCAAUUCAGCUCCCUCACAGGAAGCGACGACAAUUUCAAUUUACAAUUUGUUUAAAGAGCCUUACGUGACAUAUAGAAAGAUAGAGGUAAUUGAAGAGGGGAGAAAAGACGUAUGUGUAUGUGUGUUUGUAUUUGUGUUUGUGAGAAAAAUAGUGAGAUAAAAAUAGAGAGAACGAGAAACAGGAGAAAGAGAUUUAGUACAAAUAUUAAUCAUAUAAAAAAGAAGUCGAACUUUUUACAUGUGAUUGAUAACUUUCGAUGUAAAUAUAAUCUUGAAAGAUAAUAUAAAUAUUAUAUAUAUAUAUACAUACAUACAUACAUAUAUAUAUAUAUAUAUAGAAAAUAAAAAGCGACAUUCAAAAAAGUCAAUUGUUUGAAUUGAAUAUCUGUGGUCAAUUCACGAUAAAGAGCAUACUUGCACAUGCAUGUUAUUAUGAAUGAAAUGUUCAUAUUAGAAAAGCGAAGAAGAGAACGUGUUUAUAAUCAUUCUACUUGCCAGACUUUAUGGUGGUACUAGUGCUUGCCAAUAUUUCUCUUUCUGGAGAUAACAAUUCAAGAAGUAUGUGCGCUGGUGGUUCUAAAUUGUGCAGAGACAAACAUCCGCUUUCGGUCUCCCCGGCUAAAAAUCUUUUUGGUGCCGUAAAUACAUAUCCUCUGUAAAAAAUAAAAAGAUACAACGCAAAAAAAUUAA